AUUGAACGCUGGCGGCAGGCCUAACACAUGCAAGUCGGGCGGAGCGGCGGACGGGUGAGUAAUGCCUAGGAAUCUGCCUGAUAGAGGGGGAUAACGACCGGAAACGGGCGCUAAUACCGCAUACUAUCAGAUGAGCCUAGGUCGGAUUAGCUAGUCGGUGGGGUAAAGGCCUACCAAGGCGACGAUCCGUAACUGGUCUGAGAGGAUGAUCAGUCACACGGGAACUGCGACACGGUCCAGACUCCUACGGGAGGCAGCAGUGGGGAAUAUUGGACAAUGGGCGAAAGCCUGAUCCAGCCAUGCCGCGUGUGUGAAGAAGUUCUUCGGAUUGUAAAGCACUUUAAGUUGGGAGGCGUUACCAACAGAAUAAGCACCGGCUAACUUCGUGCCAGCAGCCGCGGUAAUAC
rnacentral:rRNA from 1 species